rnacentral:rRNA from 1 species
AGUCGUAACAAGGUUUCCGUAGGUGAACCUGCGGAAGGAUCAUUAUUGAAAUAAACAUGAUGAGUUGCUGCUGGUUCUCUAGGGAGCAUGUGCACGCUUGUCAUCUUUAUAAUCUCCAUGUGUGCACCUUUUGUAGACCUUGGAUGUCUUUCUGAAUGCGCGCUAGUGUUCAGGUUUUUGAGGAAUUGGCUUUGCUGUCUUUCCUUACAUUUCCAGGCCUAUGUCUUCCUAUAUACCCUAAUCUAUGUUAUAGAAUGUAUUAAAUGGGCCCUUUGUGCCUAUAAAUCUAUACAACUUUCAGCAACGGAUCUCUUGGCUCUCGCAUCGAUGAAGAACGCAGCGAAAUGCGAUAAGUAAUGUGAAUUGCAGAAUUCAGUGAAUCAUCGAAUCUUUGAACGCACCUUGCGCUCCUUGGUAUUCCGAGGAGCAUGCCUGUUUGAGUGUCAUUAAUAUAUCAACCUCUUCCAGCUUUUGCUUGUUGAGUUGUUGGAUGUGGGAGGCUUUUUUUGCUGGCGCCGUCAGCUCUCCUAAAAUGCAUUAGCUAAACGAUUUGUUGAUUGUUCAUUGGUAUGAUAAACCGAUCUUAUGCUAUUGAACAUGAGGCAAGUUUGGCUUCUAAUUGUCCAUUGACUUGGACAGUCUUUUAUUUGUUAAUGUGACCUCAAAUCAGGUAGGACUACCCGCUGAACUUAAGCAUAUCAAUAAGCGGAGGAAAAGAAACUAACAAGGAUUCCCCUAGUAACUGCGAGUGAAGCGGGAAAAGCUCAAAUUUAAAAUCUGUCAGUCUUUG